AAUUUUGGACAAUGGGCGCAAGCCUGAUCCAGCCAUGCCGCGUGAGUGAAGAAGGCCUUCGGGUUGUAAAGCUCUUUCGGACGGAAAGAAAUCGCGCAGGCUAAUACCCUGCGCGGAUGACGGUACCGUCAUAAGAAGCACCGGCUAACUACGUGCCAGCAGCCGCGGUAAUACGUAGGGUGCGAGCGUUAAUCGGAAUUACUGGGGGUAAAGGCUGGGGAAGGGGGUGGUUAAAGAAGGGCGUAAAACCCCGGGGCUAACCUGGGAAAUGGGGUUUGGGAUGGGUCAGUAGGAGAAGGGAAGGGGGGGUGGGAAUCCACGUGUAGCAGUGAAAUGCGUAGAGAUGUGGAGGGACACCGAUGGCGAAGGCAGCCCCCUGGGCCGAUACUGACGCUCAUGCACGAAAGCGUGGGUAGCAAACAGG
rnacentral:rRNA from 1 species